rnacentral:lncRNA from 1 species
GAACUAAUCUUCAUUAUUUCCAAUUGUUUGGGUUGUCGUCAGGAAAAGAUGGAAUUGGGUUUAGGCAUGGGAAGCGACAGGAAUAUAUGUCAAUGUUUCUAAUACUCUUCUGGCCUCAACAAAAAAUGGAAAACACCAUCUUAGAAAGAACCAUCUAAGGAAAGAGAGAUUGGUAGCCUGUGAUGGUGGCACAAACACCUCGUUUGGUUUCCAAACCGUUAAACCAACUUGCACGUAGCUGUUGCUGAUGAACACACUGGGCACAAGGUAAAUUAGUGGCCUCAUCUGUUGAUAUGUGCAAUAUGCUUUGUCAUAACUCGCGUCUUGUGUUAACGAGCAC